UACGGGGGGGGCAAGCGUUGUUCGGAAUUACUGGGCGUAAAGGGCGCGUAGGCGGCCUUCUAAGUCAGACGUGAAAUCCCCCGGCUUAACCUGGGAACUGCGUCUGAUACUGGGAGGCUUGAGUAUGGGAGAGGGAUGUAGAAUUCCAGGUGUAGCGGUGAAAUGCGUAGAUAUCUGGAGGAAUACCGGUGGCGAAGGCGGCAUCCUGGACCAUAACUGACGCUGAGGCGCGAAAGCCAGGGGAGCAAACGGG
rnacentral:rRNA from 1 species